rnacentral:rRNA from 1 species
AUGUGUUUCUCAGAUGCUUCACCAAAACCAGUUCAUGAUCAUAGUGCACCUCCCAAAGUAAAUAAGGACAAGAUAGGCAGCACCAAUAAGGAAGGACCAUCCAAGGAGGUGAAACAUCUCGCAAGAGUUCAAAAGAUUGUCAAAUUCCGGUCGAUCAAUGAGGAUCAUCACGAGAGAGCAUAUCAGCAUAAGGAUAAGGAGUUUUGCUUUAACCCUUCAAAUAGAAUGUAA